AACCCUUGUUCUUGCUAACUCCCUCAAUUGAUCAAGGAAUUCAAGUCUAAUCUGUUGCAUGUCUCAAGUUCUUCGAUUAUCUAUACAUACAUAGUGAUAUGGCGUGAAGGAAGAAGGUUCAAGUAUUAGGAAAUCGGAAGGCACACAAGAUCGAGGCAAAUCCUCAAUUUAGGCGACUUGGCAAUUUGGAGCGAGCAUAUGCACACUUUAUGGUUAUCAAGCGCUUCCGCUAUUACGUAUUAAAGUUUUGGGUCAAAUGCUCGUUUUUGUGUAACAUUGUUAGUGGUUACACUUUUUAACACUUGAUGUAUGGUUCUUAGUCGUGACUAGUUGAAUGGGUUGUAGACUUGUUUGUUUUGUUGAUGGUUAAAACAGGGAUAUGCUCGUCUUAUGGACGGGUCAUGCCCAAAUUUUGUUAAAAUCAUGUAUUAAUGACAUAGCGUUUUUACCUUCUAAA